GUAGUAGACCUUACAGUGAAAUGCUGAAUACAACAGGUGUAGUCGACCUUACAGUGAAAUGCUGAAUACAACAGGUGUAGUCGACCUUACAGUGAAAUGCUGAAUACAACAGGUGUAGUAGACCUUACAGUGAAAUGCUGAAUACAACAGGUGUAGUAGACCUCAGUGAAAUGCUGAAUACAACAGGUGUAGUAGACCUUACAGUGAAAUGCUGAAUACAACAGGUGUAGUCGACCUUACAGUGAAAUGCUGAAUACAACAGGUGUAGUCGACCUUACAGUGAAAUGCUGAAUACAACAGGUGUAGUAGACCUUACAGUGAAAUGCUGAAUACAACAGGUGUAGUAGAC